rnacentral:rRNA from 1 species
AGAAGAUGACGAGUGGCGGACGGGUGAGUAAUGCUUGGGAACUUGCCUUUGCGAGGGGGAUAACAGUUGGAAACGACUGCUAAUACCGCAUAAUGUCUUCGGACCAAACGGGGCUUCGGCUCCGGCGCAAAGAGAGGCCCAAGUGAGAUUAGCUAGUUGGUAAGGUAACGGCUUACCAAGGCGACGAUCUCUAGCUGUUCUGAAAGGAAGAUCAGCCACACUGGGACUGAGACACGGCCCAGACUCCUACGGGAGGCAGCAGUGGGGAAUAUUGCACAAUGGGGGAAACCCUGAUGCAGCCAUGCCGCGUGUGUGAAGAAGGCCUUCGGGUUGUAAAGCACUUUCAGUUGUGAGGAAAAGUUAGUAGUUAAUACCUGCUAGCCGUGACGUUAACAACAGAAGAAGCACCGGCUAACUCCGUGCCAGCAGCCGCGGUAAUACGGAGGGUGCGAGCGUUAAUCGGAAUUACUGGGCGUAAAGCGCACGCAGGCGGUUUGUUAAGCUAGAUGUGAAAGCCCCGGGCUCAACCUGGGAUGGUCAUUUAGAACUGGCAGACUAGAGUCUUGGAGAGGGGAGUGGAAUUCCAGGUGUAGCGGUGAAAUGCGUAGAUAUCUGGAGGAACAUCAGUGGCGAAGGCGACUCCCUGGCCAAAGACUGACGCUCAUGUGCGAAAGUGUGGGUAGCGAACAGGAUUAGAUACCCUGGUAGUCCACACCGUAACGCUGUCUACUAGCUGUGUGUGUCUUUAAGCGUGCGUAGCGAAGCUAA